rnacentral:rRNA from 1 species
GACGAACGCUGGCGGCGUGCUUAACACAUGCAAGUCGAGCGGUAAGGCCCUUUCGGGGGUACACGAGCGGCGAACGGGUGAGUAACACGUGGGUGACCUGCCCUUAGCUCUGGGAUAAGCCUGGGAAACUGGGUCUAAUACCGGAUAUGACUCCAUGACGCAUGUUGUGGGGUGGAAAGCCUUGUGCGGCUAGGGAUGGGCCCGCGGCCUAUCAGCUUGUUGGUGGGGUGAUGGGCCACCAAGGCGACGACGGGUAGCCGGCCUGAGAGGGCGACCGGCCACACUGGGACUGAGACACGGCCCAGACUCCUACGGGAGGCAGCAGUGGGGAAUCUUGCGCAAUGGGCGAAAGCCUGACGCAGCGACGCCGCGUGAGGGAUGACGGCCUGGUGU